CUAAAGACUCUUUUAAGAGCCACCUAUGUUUGCUUGAAAUAAACU
rfam:Caprimulgus carolinensis contig52217, whole genome shotgun sequence.